AGAGAAGACUAAAUGUCUGCUCGCAAUGCGAGAGGAAAGUCCGAACACCACAGGGCAAGAUACUUCCUAACGGGAAGACACGGCAACGUGUAACCAGCUCCACAGAAACAAACCGCCCAAUGCAUGUCAUUAGGUAAGGGUGAAAUGGUAGUGUAAGAGACUACCAGUCAUAUCGGUAACGGUAUGAGCUCGGAAUGCUUUAUCUGGUGCAAUACCAAAUAGGGGUAAUUUUGUAGCAAUACAAGCGAAAUAGUCCGUUUUGUAUAUUACCCGGGUAGGUAGCUAAAGCCGUCUCAUAAUGAGCCUUAAGGAUAGCGAUAUACGGCUGAGAUGAAUAGACAUUGUUUUGCUUUUUACGCAAAAUACAGAAUUCGGCUUAUUGUCUUCUCUUUAU
rnacentral:RNase_P_RNA from 1 species